rnacentral:rRNA from 1 species
GACGAACGCUGGCGGCGUGCUUAACACAUGCAAGUCGAACGGAAAGGCCCUGCUUUUGUGGCGUGCUCGAGUGGCGAACGGGUGUGUAACACGUGAGUAACCUGCCCUUGACUUUGGGAUAACUUCAGGAAACUGGGGCUAAUACCGGAUAGGAGCUCCUGCUGCAUGGUGGGGGUUGGAAAGUUUCGGCGGUUGGGGAUGGACUCGCGGCUUAUCAGCUUGUUGGUGGGGUAGUGGCUUACCAAGGCUUUGACGGGUAGCCGGCCUGAGAGGGUGACCGGCCACAUUGGGACUGAGAGACGGACCAGUCUCCUAUGGGCCGCAGUAGUCGGGAAUAUUGCACAAUGGGCGGAAGCCUGAGGUGGCAACGCCGCGUGCGGGAUGACGGCCUUCGGGUUGUAAACCGCUUUCGCCUGUGCCGAACCGUGAGUGACGGUAAUGAGUAAAGAAGCACCGGCUAACUACGUG